CCUACGGGAGGCAGCAGUGAGGAAUAUUGGUCAAUGGACGCGAGCCUGAACCAGCCAAGUAGCGUGAAGGAUGACUGCCCUACGGGUUGUAAACUUCUUUUGUAAAGGAGUAAAGUCAGGCACGCGUGCCUUUUUGUAUGUAUUUUAUGAAUAAGGAUCGGCUAACUCCGUGCCAGCAGCCGCGGUAAUACGGAGGAUUCGAGCGUUAUCCGGAUUUAUUGGGUUUAAAGGGUGCGUAGGUGGGUUGUUAAGUCAGUGGUGAAAUUCUGAGGCUCAACCUUAGAAUUGCAAUUGAUACUGGCCGGCUUGAGUGCAGUUGAGGUAGGCGGAAUGCGUGGUGUAGCGGUGAAAUGCUUAGAUAUCACGAAGAACACCGAUUGCGAAGGCAGCUUACCAAGCUGCUACUGACGUUGAGGCACGAAAGCGUGGGGAGCAAACAGGAUUAGAUACCCCUGUAGUC
rnacentral:rRNA from 1 species